rnacentral:lncRNA from 1 species
UCUAUUAUAAAUAUGUGUUUUUAAUAUUUAAUAUAAAAUAACUUAAUAACUAUAUAUAUAUUUAUAUUUAUACAUUUAUUUAUAUAUUAAGUUAUUUUAUGUGUUUUUUUUUUCCUUACUUUACAGUCCCAAAAAAGAAAGUCUCAAUGAAAGGAAAGGGGAGGAAUCCUCAUAGUUAGCAGGGGAGAAUCAUUUCGCAGGAAAGGGCAGUUGAGGGGUUUGGGUCGCGGGGGAGGAACCGAAAUCUAAGAGUAAAGAGGGUUAGAAAAGAAUAGGGGCCUCGGUAAGGGAACAGUUCUUUUUUUAGGUCCCAAACGCGGUCUGGAGCUGAAAACAGAUCAUAAAU